UCCCAGACUCCUACGGGAGGCAGCAGUGGGGGAUAUUGCACAAUGGGGGAAACCCUGAUGCAGCGACGCCGCGUGAAGGAAGAAGGCCCUCGGGUUGUAAACUUCUUUUAACAGGGACGAAGAAAGUGACGGUACCUGUCGAAUAAGCCACGGCUAACUACGUGCCAGCAGCCGCGGUAAUACGUAGGUGGCAAGCGUUAUCCGGAUUUACUGGGUGUAAAGGGCGUGCAGCCGGGCUGACAAGUCAGAUGUGAAAUCCCGCGGCUCAACCGCGGAACUGCAUUUGAAACUGUUAGUCUUGAGUACCGGAGAGGUCAUCGGAAUUCCUUGUGUAGCGGUGAAAUGCGUAGAUAUAAGGAAGAACACCAGUGGCGAAGGCGGAUGACUGGACGGCAACUGACGGUGAGGCGCGAAAGCGUGGGGAGCAAACAGGAUUAGAUACCCGAGUA
rnacentral:rRNA from 1 species